CAUGUCGAACGAAGUACAAUACUUAGUGGCAGACGGGUGAGUAACAUGUAGGUAUCUGCCCUUUGGCCUGGAAUAACACGAGGAAACUUGUGCUAAUACCGGAUAAGUCUUUACGGAGAAAGCUUUAUGCACCAUUGGAUGAGCCUGCACUUGAUUAGUUUGUUGGUGGGGUAAUGGCCUACCAAGACUGUGAUCAAUAGCUGAUUUGAGAGGAUGAUCAGCCACAUUGGGACUGAGACACGGCCCAAACUCCUACGGGAGGCAGCAGUGGGGAAUCCUGCACAAUGGAGGAAACUCUGAUGCAGCGAUGCCGCGUGAGUGAAGAAGGCCCUUGGGUUGUAAAGCUCUUUCGUCGGGGAAGAAAAUGACUGUACCCGAAUAAGAAGGUCCGGCUAACUUCGUGCCAGCAGCCGCGGUAAUACGAAGGGACCUAGCGUAGUUCGGAAUUACUGGGCUUAAAGAGUUCGUAGGUGGUUGAAAAAGUUAGUGGUGAAAUCCCAGAGCUUAACUCUGGAACUGCCAUUAAAACUUUUCAGCUAGAGUAUGAUAGAGGAAAGCAGAAUUUCUAGUGUAGAGGUGAAAUCCGUAGAUAUUAGAAAGAAUACCAAUUGCGAAGGCAGCUUUCUGGAUCAUUACUGACACUGAGGAACGAAAGCAUGGGUAGCGAAGAGGAUUAGAUACCCUCGUAGUCCAUGCCGUAAACGAUGUGUGUUAGACGUUGGAAAUUUAUUUUCAGUGUCGCAGCGAAAGCGAUAAACACACCGCCUGGGGAGUACGACCGCAAGGUUAAAACUCAAAUGAAUUGACGGGGACCCGCACA
rnacentral:rRNA from 1 species